rnacentral:tRNA from 1 species
GGGCGUUUAGCUCAGCCGGUCAGAGCGUCUCGUUUACACCGAGAAGGUCGGGGGUUCGAGCCCCUCAGCGCCUACCA